rnacentral:rRNA from 1 species
CAGCAGCCGCGGUAAUGCGAAGGGUGCAAGCGUUAAUCGGAAUUACUGGGCGUAAAGCGUGCGUAGGCGGUGAGUUAAGUCUGCUGUGAAAUCCCCGGGCUCAACCUGGGAAUGGCAGUGGAUACUGGCUCGCUAGAGUGUGUCAGAGGAUGGUGGAAUUCCCGGUGUAGCGGUGAAAUGCGUAGAGGUCGGGAGGAACAUCAGUGGCGAAGGCGGCCAUCUGGGACAACACUGACGCUGAGGCACGAAAGCGUGGGGAGCAAACAGGAUUAGAGACCCCCGUAGUCCCUGUCUCUUAUAC